CUUCCUGACCCAGGGAUUGAACCUGGGUCUCCUGCAUUGCAGGCAGACUCUUUACCGUCUGAGCCACCAGGUA
rnacentral:tRNA from 1 species